rnacentral:rRNA from 1 species
UACGUAGGGUGCAAGCGUUGUCCGGAAUUAUUGGGCGUAAAGAGCUCGUAGGCGGUUUGUUGCGUCGGCUGUGAAAUCCCGAGGCUCAACCUCGGGUCUGCAGUCGAUACGAGCAAACUAGAGUGUUGCAGGGGAGACUGGAAUUCCUGGUGUAGCGGUGAAAUGCGCAGAUAUCAGGAGGAACACCCGUAGCGAAGGCGGCACUCUGGGCCGGAACUGACGCUGAGGAGCGAAAGCGUGGGGAGCGAACAGG